GAAAAUGAAAUCGGCCAUCUGUAAUUAUUAGAUAGAGAUUGUAAAGAACAGAAAAUGGUUAUUUUGCAAUGCAGCAAUUGCCUUGAACAUAUACUUUUUUCAGCAAUGAUUUCAACAUUUCUUUGGCUUCCAUCAACUUUAGAACAAUGUGAAGGACCUUCAGGAGAUCUCAUCUGUUGUUACGGGUAUACGUGGAAUGAUACGCUGAAUGCUUGUAUCAGUUGUACUGAUGGAUUCUAUGGAGUAAAUUGCUCUACUCCUUGUCCAUUUCCAUCAUUUGGCUGGAAAUGUGAGGGGAACUGUAACUGUGGAAUUGAGUAUUGCAAUCAUGUUUCCGGUUGCAGAGAUCACACAAAGAAAU